rnacentral:tRNA from 1 species
GGGCCUGUAGCUCAGUUGGUUAGAGCAGCGGACUCAUAAUCCGUUGGUCCCCAGUUCAAGUCUGGGUGGGCCCA